GACGAACGCUGGCGGCGUGCUUAACACAUGCAAGUCGAACGGAAAGGCCCUUCGGGGUACUCGAGUGGCGAACGGGUGAGUAACACGUGGGUGAUCUGCCCUGCACUUUGGGAUAAGCCUGGGAAACUGGGUCUAAUACCGAAUAGGAUCAUCGGCUUCAUGGUCGGUGGUGGAAAGCUUUUGCGGUGUGGGAUGGGUCCGCGGCCUAUCAGCUUGUUGGUGGGGUAAUGGCCUACCAAGGCGACGACGGGUAGCCGGCUUGAGAGGGUGACCGGCCACACUGGGAAUGAGAUACGGCCCAGACUCCUACGGGAGGCAGCAGUGGGGAAUAUUGCACAAUGGGCGCAAGCCUGAUGCAGCGACGCCGCGUGAGGGAUGACGGCCUUCGGGUUGUAAACCUCUUUCAGCAGGGACGAAGCGCAAGUGACGGUACCUGUAGAAGAAGGACCGGCCAACUACGUGCCAGCCGCCGCAGUAA
rnacentral:rRNA from 1 species